UCUUCCCUCUGGCGGCGUGCCUAAUACAUGCAAGUCGAGCGAACAGACGAGGAGCUUGCUCCUCUGACGUUAGCGGCGGACGGGUGAGUAACACGUGGAUAACCUACCUAUAAGACUGGGAUAACUUCGGGAAACCGGAGCUAAUACCGGAUAAUAUAUUGAACCGCAUGGUUCAAUAGUGAAAGACGGUUUUGCUGUCACUUAUAGAUGGAUCCGCGCCGCAUUAGCUAGUUGGUAAGGUAACGGCUUACCAAGGCGACGAUGCGUAGCCGACCUGAGAGGGUGAUCGGCCACACGGGAACUGGGACACGGUCCAGACUCCUACGGGAGGCAGCAGUAGGGAAUCUUACGCAAUGGGCGAAAGCCUGACGGAGCAACGCCGCGUGAGUGAUGAAGGUCUUCGGAUCGUAAAGCUCUGUUAUGGGGGAAAAACAAAUGUGUAAGUAACUAUGCACGUCUUGACGGUACCUAAUCAGAAAGCCACGGCUAACUACGUG
rnacentral:rRNA from 1 species